GAUGAACGCUAGCGGCAGGCCUAACACAUGCAAGUCGAGGGAGAAGCCCUUCAGGGCAGAAACCGGCGCACGGGUGCGUAACGCGUAUGCAACCUACCUUUCACAGGGGGAUAGCCCGAAGAAAUUUGGAUUAAUACCCCAUAAUAUUAUUGGGUGGCAUCAUUUGAUAAUUAAAAUUACGAUGGUGAAAGAUGGGCAUGCGUCCUAUUAGCUAGUUGGAGUGGUAACGGCACCCCAAGGCUACGAUAGGUAGGGGUCCUGAGAGGGAGAUCCCCCACACUGGUACUGAGACAGGGACCAGACUCCUACGGGAGGCAGCAGUGAGGAAUAUUGGUCAAUGGUCGGAAGACUGAACCAGCCAUGCCGCGUGCAGGAAGAAUGCCUUAUGGGUUGUAAACUGCUUUAUAUGGAAGAAUAAGGAGUACGCG
rnacentral:rRNA from 1 species